rnacentral:rRNA from 1 species
CUAUAGCGUAUAUUAAAGUUGUUGCAGUUAAAAAGCUCGUAGUUGAAUUUUUGCUUGCCGCCGAUGUCGGAACUUCCGUACGUUCGGCGGCGUGCAUCCUUGGGUGGAACCUGUGUGGCAUUAGGUUGUCGUGCAGGGGAUGCUCAUCGUUUACUGUGAAAAAAUUAGAGUGUUCAAAGCAGGCUUACGCCGUUGAAUAUAUUAGCAUGGAAUAAUAAGAUAGGACCUUGGUACUAUUUUGUUGGUUUGCGCACCGAGGUAAUGAUUAACAGGGACAGUUGGGGGUAUUCGUAUUCCAUUGUCAGAGGUGAAAUUCUUGGAUUUCUGGAAGACGAACUACUGCGAAAGCAUUUACCAAGGAUGUUUUCAUUAA